GCUAUUUUUGUAUUUAUCUUUAUUUUAAAUUAUAUUGUGAAUUAUAUCAUAUGAUAAUGAGCUAGCGGUGCGUUAUCUGCGUCGCCGGUGCGGGUAAAUUUUAACACGGCCGCCCGUUUUUAUAUUGACGUUUCGAAACCUCCAUCGCGUUACGUUAAAAAUAUUAUUGUAAUUUCCGUGUGUGAUUUAAUAUUUUUUCUUCUUCUCGUGUCAACCACCGUCCGGGAAUGUUAAUGAAUUAUGUUGUUUUUACAAUUUUUUAGUGUGUGUGCUAAUCGUGAUUCAUUAUUGUUAUUUUUACGUGUGCUAAUCGUCGUAAUUGUUACUUGAUUAAACAUAUUUUUUAUUGUAGGCGCUAAUCGCCAUAUUAUAUUAGAGUGUAUUUAUUUAUUAUUUGUAUAGGCGCGAAUCGCCGUUAGAUUUGUAUUUAUUUAUUUUAGAAUUUAGGUAGCGGCUGGCCAGUCUGCGCUCCACAAAUUAAAUAGUCUGAGAGUUUCAAAAAUAAGAAAUUUAAAGCCAGUUUUUGAAAAAAAAAUUCUGGAAGGGGUGGGAAUAUCCCUCGGACCCUUUUCACCAGGGAGUAUUCCUUACCACCCGAUAGAUCUUGCCACCUCAGUUUAAAAGGUGAAAUGACGCCCCUGCCAAUACACCACUGGUUAAAGGUAAUAGAUAUAUAAUA
rnacentral:misc_RNA from 1 species